rnacentral:rRNA from 1 species
GUAGGUGGCAAGCGUUGUCCGGAAUUAUUGGGCGUAAAGCGCGCGCAGGCGGUCCUUUAAGUCUGAUGUGAAAGCCCCACGGCUCAACCGUGGAGGGUCAUUGGAAACUGGGGGACUUGAGUACAGAAGAGGAAAGCGGAAUUCCAAGUGUAGCGGUGAAAUGCGUAGAGAUUUGGAGGAACACCAGUGGCGAAGGCGGCUUUCUGGUCUGUAACUGACGCUGAGGCGCGAAAGCGUGGGGAGCAAACAGGGAUUAGAUACCCUGGUAGUCCACGCCGUAAACGAUGAGUGCUAAGUGUUAGGGGGGUUUCCCGCCCCCUUAGUGCUGCAGCUAACGCAUUAAGCACUCCGCCUGGGGAGUACGGCCGCAAGGCUG